UGCAGCAGAGUCUACAUGCAACCGGAUCUGAGAUUGAAUCUGGGCCGUUAAUCAGGCCAUAAUUGUUUUGAUCAAAUCUUAGCCGUCUGAAAUGCGAUUUGGAUGAUUUCAGACUUGUUUCCAGCUAAUUUGAUCGUUCCGGAUGCAAUGGUACGGUCCGAUCAUUGAGAUUGAGACCGAAAAUGGUGGUGGUGAAUUAUUGAAAGAGAUUGCCCGAUGAAGAGGCAUCUGAAGGUCAUCAUGAUGGUCGAUGGAGAUGAAGAAGAAGAAGACUUACAUGUUUACCCAAUUACAUGUGUUGAACUGCCAAGUGGGGAUGUUUUCAGUUGCCUUGAUGGAAGGCAAAAUUGGGAUACUCUGGACACCCGAUCAUGUGGACGAUUUGAGGUGGAGAGUGGAAAUUGAUGAAGACUAAUCUUGACGAAUCUAAGAACUGGUAGUCUCGCCAGAUGUUGAGAAAUCAGGUAUAAAACCAGGACACCCCAGAUCACUUAUAAAGGAAAGCCGCAACAAAGCUAGCAAAUGGUUGUAUAUACGAAAAGGCAGUACGGUGGAUAGAUACGUUCUAAGAAGUUCUGUCUAGGAGAUUGGGUUUUAAGCGGGACCAGUGUGACCCCUCCAAAUCUUUCCUGGGAACUUGCUUAGUUGAAGGAUCAUCCACACAGUACUAUUUUUGUAUAUGUAACAGUUUGUAAUGAAACUGUUGAAGACUAGCAAGAUGACAACAUAAAGGAACAGUUGAGUUCCGUAUGUUCAAGGAUUUGAUGGAGUGGUGAUUUCUCCAAAGAAGUUAGAUUCGGUGACUGUAAUUUCUCGAAGGGAGAAUUAAUGAAGACCCUGAUAAUGGAAGAGAAAUACAGCAAGGGGAUAAAGAUUGGCACCCUAUUUUGACUUGGAUAAAUGUUGUGACAGGAUGAGCUGCUGUCAAACAUAAAAGCAAAGAAUAGGGAGAAAUCUGGAGAACCGAAAUUGCACGAGAGCACACGGAGAUUGUGCAGGAGUACCCGAAGGAUCCAACGAGGUACUGUAAUGAGACAACAGGUGCAAGGAGAAGAAGUGUUCCCAGAUGAAGCUCAGAGCAGAGACUGUUAAAGUUUGUACAACAGGAAGUCUCUUGUGCUCUUAAUGAAGACAACAAGCGAAGACCUUUCCAAUGCAUGCAAGGAUGGAAAGAUGAGCUGUUGCAGAAGCACCUAAUUAAGGGGGUGCGACCGCCGAUGAAAGGCGAAGACACCAAAGAGAGUUGGUGUGGGUGGAGCUAUCAAGCAGAAAGGCGUAGAAGCUCCAAACAUAGAAAUCGAGGUGGAGAAUUGCGAGGAGUAUAACACAACUCUCUCUUUCUAUGUGAUCAGUGGCAGUGAUCUCUCCCAAGUCCACAUGGUGGUAGAGAAUCUUGGAGUCACUGGAGACAUCCCCGAUGAAGGAGGAUGUGACCGCUUCAUGAUGGACAGAGACACCUCAGGCAGAAGGUGUGUGGGCCAUGAAACGAGCCCAAAUACAAACCGCCACAUGACGAUGAGCGGAGACACCUCAAAUAGAAGGUGUGGGCCAUAAAACGAGCCCAAGUACAAACCGCCACAUGACGAUGAGCGGAGACACCUCAGGCAGAAGGUGUGUGGGCCAUGAAACUAGCCCAAGUAGAAACCGCCGCAUGACGACAGGCAGAGACACCUCCGGAGAAGGUGUGCGGACCAUGAUAUGAGUCCAAGUUCAGACCGUCUCAUGACGACAGGCGGAGACACCUCAGAAGAAGGUGUGAGGACCAUGAUAUGAGUCCAAGAUCAGACCGUCUCAUGACGAUAGGCGGAGACACCUCGGAUGGAAGGUGUGAGGACCAUGAUAUGAGUCCAAUUUCGGACCGCCCCAUGACAAAGGGCGAAGACACCUCAGGAGAAGGUGUGAGGGCCAUGAUAGGAGCCCAAUUUCAGAACGCCCCAGAGCCAAUGUGAUGGCUAGUAUAAGUGGACAUGUGUAUAGCCAAUGAAGAGGCUAUGAUGAGUAUGGAGACAAAUGCAGGAUUGACUUUCAUGGAUAUUGCCCCCAUGCUAAAGAUCAAUGAGCUAGAAGACAUUUGCCUUGGAAAAUAAGUGGAUGACUUGUGGAGCAUUAAGACGCGACUGCUAUGAAGGAGCAGAGGGCAUGCGCAGGUUCCAGGAACAAGUUGACUCUUGUCAAGGUGGUGAGCUCAGUAAUGACAUUGUAAUACUCAGAGUAUGAAGAUAGAGAUGGAUCAACCUUUAAUGGGCUGUCCCCAUGGUUAAAAGGGAGAGCCACCUGGACUCUUGAGACUAAGAGCGGGAGACUCACGGAGAAGUAAGGCGUGGUUCCUAGGGAGGAACAGAGGGCAGACGCAACUCCGGGAUGAGUAGACUCUUGGAAGAGUGGUGAGCUCGUGAUCACAUUAAAAUACUCAAUGACUGUCGCACUUGGGAAUAUCCGUUUGAGGGGGUGUUGUAAGCCUUGAUGUAAGGCUUGAUAAAUCAUUCCGGGCCAAGCAUGGUUGAUAUGCUUGAAGGGGAAUGUUGUUCCAGAGACAAGCGUUAAACACUCUUCAGAUGAGAUAUGACAAACCAUCUGGUUGAAGUGAUCCUUUGGAGUGAGCAAAAGGGUGCUUGGAUGACUCUGAUGAUUGAAAGGUUUGGCAAGUACUUGGAAACUUGGCCAAAGACGCUCUCGGAAUGGUAAGCUUCGAAGAGCUGCAGGAUGCAAGCGUGUGCUGAAAAAGCAAGAGGACAAUUGCCCACAUAAAUGACAAAGGGGGUGAUUGUUGGAAUAUUGCCAAUUAUGUGGCUGCCAUUGUCAAAGAAGAUGGCUGCAAUGGUAGGUUGUUGGUGGCAGCCAACAACCAUUGUCUAAUGUCAAAGUUUGGUAAGUUUGGCAGCCACCAUUGUUGACAAAAGAGCUGGAGGAGCUGCCAUGGAUGCCUAUAAAUAGAGGCAUACAUUAGAGAGCAAAAAUGAGAGAGUUAAGAGAGAGUGUGUAGAGCCAAAGAUGUGAGAAAUGUAGGAGAGAGUGGGCUGCCAAGGCAGCCAGCAGUAGCUGCCAUUGCAGCACUGAAAAGAGAGAAAUAGAGUGAGGUUGAGAGUUGCCAAAGAGGGGAUGAUUCCUCCUCCUCUAUUGUUGUAAAUCUUGUUCUCUCCCUAUAUAAUGCAAUGGCUUCUCCCGUGGAUGUAGGCGGUUUGCCGAACCACGUUAAAUA